UACGGGGGGGGGCAAGCGUUGUUCGGAAUUACUGGGCGUAAAGGGCUCGUAGGUGGUCAACUAAGUCGGACGUGAAAUCCCUCGGCUUAACCGGGGAACUACGUCCGAUACUGGAUGACUUGAGUUCGGGAGAGGGAUGCGGAAUUCCUGGUGUUAGCGGUGAAAUGCGCAGAUAUCAGGAAGAACACCCGUGGCGAAAGCGGGCU
rnacentral:rRNA from 1 species